ensembl:lncRNA
AGGAGGUUCAGGCCUGUCUACUCUCACUCUAUGAGUGUUCCAGAGCUGAACUACGGAGCUCGCUUCAGUCCCUUUGAACCGCCCGCAAGCCACGCCCACAAAGCCAAACACACACCUCAAGAACCACCUGUGCCUCAAGCACAGAACAGAGAUGGGAGUCCCUGUGGCAGUGCAGACCUGGCGCCCCCCCCCACUGCGCCCCCCCUCCGCAGGAAGAGCUCAGGCUACUGUGAGUGCUGCCAGAUGGCCUUCACCGACAUGGAGCAGCAUGUGAAGUGUGAGCAGCAUCUGCGUUUCGCAGAGCACUCUGCUAACUAUGCCGUUCUGGACCAGCUGAUUGGCUCCCUGGAGUGCCUGUUCCUCUUUAGCACCGCCCACUCCCAAGACUUCCAGCUAUCCUCCAGCUCCUCUCAGUGUAUCUUGGUGACUUCGGACCUUGAGCUCAAGAUGUCGGGCCAAAUCAACCAGGACGCUCUGACGCACAGCCACACACACACACACACACACACACACAGCCCAGAGAAGCUGGCAGUCACACACACCCUUUCACACGCACAGAACUCUCAGGUGCAGACACAUACACACACCCUCACACACACACACAGACCAGAAAACUCCACACAACAGACCAUCCCCUAUCCAGACACCCCCACCCUGAGUGACACAGCCAACCCCCCCACACUGAACCCCCCCACACUGAACCCCCCCACACUGAACCCCCCCACUCUGAACCCCCCCACUCUGAGUGACACACCCACACUGAACCCCGAGCACAGUGAGGAGGAGGAGAGGAAGAUGAAGCCCCUCCCCUCCCAGAGCCACACCCCUGUGGUACCGCACACCAACCCAUCAGACCCCUCCCACCUGUGUAAGUCCCUCCCCUCCCAGGGCCCUAGCCACACCCCUCCUGCACAUCAUGACAACCCAUCAGACCACUCCCACAUCCUUAUGCCCCUCCCCUCCCAGGGCCCUAGCCACACCCCUCCUGCACAUCAUGACACCCCAUCAGACCCCUCCCACCUGUGUAUGCCCCUCCCCUCCCAGGGCCCGAGCCACACCCCUCCUGCACAUCAUGACAACCCAUCAGACCACUCCCACAUCCUUAUGCCCCUCCCCUCUGUCACAUUCAGCCC